GUCGUGAGAUGUUGGGUUAAGUCCCGCAACGAGCGCAACCCUCACGUGAUGUUGCCAGCGUAAAGUCGGGCACUCUUCACGAACUGCCCGGGUAACCGGGAGGAAGGUGGGGAUGACGUCAAGUCGGCAUGGCCCUUACGCCUGGGGCUUCACACAUGCUACAAUGGGCGUGACAGAGGGCAGCAAACCCGCGAGGGGGAGCCAAUCCCACAAACACGCUCUCAGUUCGGAUUGCAGGCUGCAACUCGCCUGCAUGAAGUUGGAAUCGCUAGUAACCGCCGGUCAGCUAAACGGCGGUGAAUACGUUCCCGGGCCUUGUACACACCGCCCGUCACGUCACCUGAGUCUGCUGCACCCGAAGCCGCUGGCCCAACCGCAAGGGGGGAGGCGUCGAAGGUGUGGCCGGUAAGGGGGACGAAGUCGUAACAAGGUAGCCGUAUCGGAAGGUGCGGCUGGAUCACCUCCUUUCUAAGGAGCGAGAGGAUGUCCCCCUGGGGGCAUCGUCUCCAUCCCUAGGUCGAUGCGUUUUCAGGAGCGGGUAAUCGGCGCAAGCCGGGUCCCCGCAGUCGUCACUCCAACCACUGUUUAGUCUUCAGGGUUUGGCCCUUUAGGGUGCCGGCCCUGUGUGUGCCCGCGCCGUGGUCCAACGUGACCUCGGCAGCAAUGCGGGAGCACCUUGAAAACUGCAGCAGCAAGUAUGGGUUGCCUUCAAGGAACGAUCCAAUUUCACCUUCGCAACGGAAGGGUCUUGUACCCUUCUUCAGCGCAGGCUUGUUCGGUCAAGCUACAAAGGGCGUUGGGUGGAUGCCUUGGGGCCAGGAGCCGAUGAAGGGCGUGGCGCACGACGUUACGCUCCGGGGAGGCGCGAGCAGCCUUCGAUCCGGAGAUGC
rnacentral:sRNA from 1 species